UACGUGAUCCGAUGAAAGGUGUUCGUGUUUGGCUUGGGACUUUCACCACUGCGGAAGACGCGGCAAGAGCCUAUGACAAGGAGGCAAAAAGAAUUCGUGGGAGGAAGGCCAAACUCAACUUCCCUGAUAAGAAACAAUCACCACCACCUCUUCCUCCCUCAUUACCUGUCGAUCCACCCCCACCGUUAGCAAAAGCACCGGCUCUUCCGGUGGAAUUUGGUACGGGGACGGGUUCUUCUUCUACCUCUUGCGGGGUGGGAGAGAAUGUGGAUUUGAUGGAGAUUGAGAG
rnacentral:lncRNA from 1 species